GAUUGAGUUAACACAUGUGAAAUGCUUACAACAGCAUCUGGCACAUGUGUUUAAGAAAUAAUACUAUAUGGUAUUACUACACAAGGGAUAAUCAAGUCCCAUCCUCUGAAGGAAGUGAGUACACAGAGGGGCUAGUGGAGGGAAACAGGAGUCAGAGCACGCGCGCCCGCGCCCGCGCGCGCGCGCACACACACACACACACACACACACACAUACACACAUUCCUCACACAUACCAGAAACUCUAACAGCCUCACUCACACGUUAUGGGACCUAACACCCUUAAAUGGUUGCAUGAGUAGUUUUCACCAAGCGAUGGUUUGUGGCUGUAAACCUUAGAGUUUAAAUUUUUAUUUUCUGGCAAGGCUUUUUUGAGGCCCCUACUUCAGCAGAGGGGAGUGAGAACAAACAACAGGUGCCCCUGCUUGUUGAAGGUAAUAGCCAUAAAAACAAAACCAGGCCUAAACCCCCAAAUCAGAUGAAAACUUAGUCUGUCUUCGUCAUAUUUUGCUGAUGAUCUUUGGAAGCAGGGAAACCCUGCUGCUUCUCCACUCUCAGGAAAUUGAUGAGGACACUGUCCUGCCCUGAAGCAUACAGAGUCUAGUGAAGAUGGUUCACACCAUUGCCACACGACAUACAUGCUCUGACUGAGGUCUGUGCCCAGGGCCAUGAUGGUCUUUGAUGGAAAGGACUCACUCCUGAGGGGUGAGUGGGGAAGGUGAUAGAGGUGGGUUAUAAAGAGUGAGUGGAAGUGAGCUGUGUAGAUCAAGUCUUCAUUAAUUUGUUCAAAAGAUAUUUAUUGAGGACCUACUAUGUGUUAAGAACUGUGUUGGAUGAUGGAGAUAGGUAGGGAGUAAGAGAUUUAUAUGAGAAUUCCCUGGUGGCCCAGUGUCUAAGACUCUUUGCUCCCAAUGCAGGGGGCUCAAGUUCCAUCCCUGACCGAGGAACUAGAUCUGCAACUAAGAGUUCAAAGGCCAAAACUAAAGAUCCAGCAUACCACAAUGAAGAUCAAAGAUCCUGAAUGCUGCGGCUAAAACCCAGCG
rnacentral:lncRNA from 1 species